GACGAACGCUGGCGGCGUGCCUAAUACAUGCGAGUCGAACGCACAGUUUAUACCGUAGCUUGCUACACCAUAAACUGUGAGUUGCGAACGGGUGAGUAACGCGUAGGUAACCUGCCUGGUAGCGGGGGAUAACUAUUGGAAACGAUAGCUAAUACCGCAUAAUAUUGAUUAUUGCAUGAUAAUUGAUUGAAAGAUGCUAUUGCAUCACUACCAGAUGGACCUGCGUUGUAUUAGCUAGUAGGUGAGGUAACGGCUCACCUAGGCGACGAUACAUAGCCGACCUGAGAGGGUGAUCGGCCACACUGGGACUGAGACACGGCCCAGACUCCUACGGGAGGCAGCAGUAGGGAAUCUUCGGCAAUGGACGAAAGUCUGACCGAGCAACGCCGCGUGAGUGAAGAAGGUUUUCGGAUCGUAAAGCUCUGUUGUAAGAGAAGAACGGGUGUGAGAGUGGAAAGUUCACACUGUGACGGUAUCUUACCAGAAAGGGACGGCUAACUACGUG
rnacentral:rRNA from 1 species